GUUGAAGACAUUCCAGCAAGUCUCUGAGCAGAUCUUGAUUGGAUGACGUUUUCUACACAGCUUCCUGGACUUUCGAAGAAAAAUGUCAAAUUUGGGACCAUUUCCCCAAAGCGGUUGGCAUUCUUAGGAGGGAGGUCUGAUCACAGGGAAGUCAACCGUUCUCACGAACUCUCUCUGAAAUAACAAUGCCAAGGGCCCAGAAUCCUUUGUAGGAAACCACCAAACGGCUGGCACCAGGCUGAGCAGCUCACACACCUAGGCCUCUCUCCCGAGGACUUCGUAGGCUCCGCCAGCCUCCCGGUCUCAGCCUCCUGCAGUCCAGUGUGUGUGUGGCGCAGUGACACUCGGUUACAGCUGCGAGCUGAGAGGAUGGGAAUCCUCGGCCUUCACUGGACAGCCAGCCUAGCCUACACAGACCAAUAAGAGACCCUGUCUCACAAAACAAGGCGGAACAGAACCGGAGGAGUGACAGGUUUUACAGAUGAGAUGGUUGCUGCCAAGUAUGAAGAUGGAGUCUGAUUCCUGGGGUGCAUGGCUAGUGGACAGAACUGACUCCCACAAGUUGUCCUCUGAUUUCCACAUCAAAUUUCUUGUUUUGUCUUCUAAUCUACCAACCCUUUGAAUGGCCAGAUGUUGAUAUUUUAUACACGGUCUGGACAAUCCAACUGAGGGUCUUGGUCUCACACGGCUAAUACUUGACCAGCUGAGAUAUCUCAGCACCUUUGAAGUCCAGAAACUCAGUGCAUGCAAAGCCCCCGCAAGUCUCUGUGCUGGAUCUUACAAGGAAUGAAGGCGUCACUCUAAACCUUCGGAGCCAGGGUGUGGUCAAUCAUGGGAUUGUUCCCAGGAAAUCCCUUUUGUUCCAGACCAGUCUGUCCACUCGGCGAGUGAGAAGACUGAAGAAGAUGGAUUUUAUUUUUCUACUCUUUUUGGGGAUGGGCGCACUGCCUUCAGCCUCUGGAAGAUACACCAUACUGGGGAUUGAUGGGAGAUGCGGAGGCUGAGUUUCGCCAGGCUAUCUAUCGUGAACUCCAGGGCUCCUGGGUCUGCUUCCCAAGCACCACGUCCAGCUUCUUACAUAGGUUCCUGGGAUCUGAACUCAGAACCUCAGGCUUGCACAGUAAGCACUUGGCUACUGAGCUGUCUCCCCAGCUCAUCUCUGCUUUUCUAACUUAUAUUUACAGUCAUUUGGUACUCCA